UACGGAGGGUGCAAACGUUGCUCGGAAUUAUUGGGCGUAAAGCGCGCGUAGGCGGUUAUCUAAGUCGGAUGUGAAAGCCCUCGGCUUAACUGAGGAAGUGCACCCGAAACUGGAUAGCUAGAGUACGAAAGAGGGUCGCGGAAUUCCCGGUGUAGAGGUGAAAUUCGUAGAUAUCGGGAGGAACACCGGUGGCGAAGGCGGCGACCUGGGUCGAGACUGACGCUGAGGCGCGAAAGCGUGGGGAGCAAACAGG
rnacentral:rRNA from 1 species